CCUUCGAUAGCUCAGUUGCUAGAGCGGGGGACUGUAGAUUUAUAAUUGUGAUACCUAGGUCGCUGGUUCGAAUCCGGCUCGAAGAA
rfam:Nematostella vectensis strain CH2 x CH6 NEMVEscaffold_285_Cont22399, whole genome shotgun sequence.